AUUGAACGCUGGCGGCAGACCUAACACAUGCAAGUCGAACGAGUGGCGGACGGGUGAGUAAUGUCUGGGAAACUGCCCGAUGGAGGGGGAUAACUACUGGAAACGGUAGCUAAUACCGCAUACCAUCGGAUGUGCCCAGAGGGGAUUAGCCGGUAGGUGGGGUACCGGCUCACCUAGGCGACGCUCCCUAGCUGGUCUGAGAGGAUGACCAGCCACACUGGAACUGAGACACGGUCCAGGCUCCUACGGGAGGCAGCAGUGGGGAGUAUUGCACAAGGGGCGCAAGCCUGAUACAGCCAUGCCGCGUGUAUGAAGAAGGCCUUCGGGUUGUAAAGUACUUUCAGCGAGGAGGCGUUACUCGCAGAAGAAGCACCGGCUAACUCCGUGCCAGCAGCCGCGGUAAUAC
rnacentral:rRNA from 1 species